UACGGAGGUGGCAAGCGUUGCUCGGAAUCACUGGGCGUAAAGGGCGCGUAGGCGGGAAGGUAAGUCGGGUGUGAAAUCCCUCGGCCCAACCGAGGAACUGCGCCCGAGACUGCUUCUCUUGAGUCCCGGAGAGGAAGAUGGAAUUCCCGGUGUAGCGGUGAAAUGUGUAGAGAUCGGGAGGAACACCGGUGGCGAAGGCGGUCUUCUGGACGGUGACUGACGCUGAGGCGCGAAAGCGUGGGGAGCAAACGGG
rnacentral:rRNA from 1 species